GUGGCGAACGGGUGAGUAACACGUGAGCAAUCUGCCCUUGACUCUGGGAUAACUGCGGGAAACUGUAGCUAAUACCGGAUACUUUCCUCGCUGGGCAUCCAGCGGGGAAGAAAGAAUUUCGGUCAAGGAUGAGCUCGCGGCCUAUCAGCUAGUUGGUGAGGUAAUGGCUCACCAAGGCGACGACGGGUAGCCGGCCUGAGAGGGUGACCGGCCACACUGGAACUGAGACACGGUCCAGACUCCUACGGGAGGCAGCAGUGGGGAAUAUUGCACAAUGGGCGAAAGCCUGAUGCAGCAACGCCGCGUGAGGGAUGAAGGCCUUCGGGUUGUAAACCUCUUUUAGCAGGGAAGAAGCGAAAGUGACGGUACCUGCAGAAAAAGCACCGGCUAACUACGUGCCAGCAGCCGCGGUAAUACGUAGGGUGCAAGCGUUGUCCGGAAUUAUUGGGCGUAAAGAGCUCGUAGGCGGUUUGUCACGUCUGCUGUGAAAAUCCGAGGCUCAACCUCGGACUUGCAGUGGGUACGGGCAGGCUAGAGUGCGGUAGGGGAGAAGGGAAUUCCUGGUGUAGCGGUGGAAUGCGCAGAUAUCAGGAGGAACACCGAUGGCGAAGGCACUUCUCUGGGCCGUAACUGACGCUGAGGAGCGAAAGCGUGGGGAGCGAACAGGAUUAGAUACCCUGGUAGUCCAC
rnacentral:rRNA from 1 species